CCUACGGUCGGCAGCAGUGAGGAAUAUUGGUCAAUGGACGAGAGUCUGCACCAGCCAAGUAGCGUGAAGGAUGACUGCCCUCUGGGUUGUAAACUUCUUUUAUAUGGGAAUAAAAUGUUCCACGUGUGGGAUUUUGUAUGUACUAUAUGAAUAAGGAUCGGCUAACUCCGUGCCAGCAGCCGCGGUAAUACGGAGGAUCCGAGCGUUAUCCGGAUUUAUUGGGUUUAAAGGGAGCGUAGGUGGAUUGUUAAGUCAGUUGUGAAAGUUUGCGGCUCAACCGUAAAAUUGCAGUUGAAACUGGCAGUCUUGAGUACAGUAGAGGUGGGCGGAAUUCGUGGUGUAGCGGUGAAAUGCUUAGAUAUCACGAAGAACUCCGAUUGCGAAGGCAGCUCACUGGACUGCAACUGACACUGAGGCUCGAAAGUGUGGGUAUCAAACAGGAUGAGAUACCCGAGUAGUC
rnacentral:rRNA from 1 species